AGGUAAGCUACUAAGAGCGAAUGGUGGAUGCCUUGACUGGUAAAGGCGAUGAAGGACGUACUAGACUGCGAUAAGCUACGGGGAGCUGUCAAGAAGCUUUGAUCCGUAGAUUUCCGAAUGGGGCAACCCAAUGUAUAGAGAUAUACAUUACCUAUAUAGGAGCGAACGAGGGGAAUUGAAACAUCUUAGUACCCUCAGGAAAAGAAAUCAAUAGAGAUUGCGUCAGUAGCGGCGAGCGAAAGCGCAAGAGGGCAAACCCAGUGCUUGCACUGGGGGUUGUAGGACUGCAAUGUGCAAGAGGUAAGUUUAGCAGAACAUUCUGGAAAGUAUAACCAUAGAGGGUGAUAGUCCCGUAUGCGAAAAACAAACCUUAGCUAGCAGUAUCCUGAGUAGGGCGGGACACGAGGAAUCCUGUCUGAAUCCGGGUCGACCACGAUCCAACCCUAAAUACUAAUACCAGAUCGAUAGUGCACAAGUACCGUGAGGGAAAGGUGAAAAGAACUGAGGUGAUCAGAGUGAAAUAGAACCUGAAACCAUUUGCUUACAAUCAUUCAGAGCCUUAUGUAGCAAUACAGGGUGAUGGACUGCCUUUUGCAUAAUGAGCCUGCGAGUUGUGGUGUCUGGCAAGGUUAAGCAAACGCGAAGCCGUAGCGAAAGCGAGUCUGAAUAGGGCGCUUAGUCAGAUGCUGCAGACCCGAAACGAAGUGAUCUAUCCAUGAGCAAGUUGAAGCUAGUGUAAGAACUAGUGGAGGACUGAACCCAUAGGCGUUGAAAAGCCCCGGGAUGACUUGUGGAUAGGGGUGAAAGGCCAAUCAAACUUCGUGAUAGCUGGUUCUCUCCGAAAUAUAUUUAGGUAUAGCGUUGUGUCGUAAUAUAAGGGGGUAGAGCACUGAAUGGGCUAGGGCAUACACCAAUGUACCAAACCCUAUCAAACUCCGAAUACCUUAUAUGUAAUCACAGCAGUCAGGCGGCGAGUGAUAAAAUCCGUCGUCAAGAGGGAAACAACCCAGACUACCAGCUAAGGUCCCUAAAUCUUACUUAAGUGGAAAACGAUGUGAAGUUACUUAAACAACCAGGAGGUUGGCUUAGAAGCAGCCAUCCUUUAAAGAAAGCGUAAUAGCUCACUGGUCUAGUGAUUUUGCGCGGAAAAUAUAACGGGGCUAAAGUAAGUACCGAAGCUGUAGACUUAGUUUACUAAGUGGUAGGAGAGCGUUCUAUUUGCGUCGAAGGUAUACCGGUAAGGAGUGCUGGAGCGAAUAGAAGUGAGCAUGCAGGCAUGAGUAGCGAUAAUUAAUGUGAGAAUCAUUAACGCCGUAAACCCAAGGUUUCCUACGCGAUGCUCGUCAUCGUAGGGUUAGUCGGGUCCUAAGUCGAGUCCGAAAGGGGUAGACGAUGGCAAAUUGGUUAAUAUUCCAAUACCAACAUUAGUGUGCGAUGGAAGGACGCUUAGGGCUAAGGGGGCUAGCGGAUGGAAGUGCUAGUCUAAGGUCGUAGGAGGUUAUACA
rnacentral:rRNA from 1 species